rnacentral:rRNA from 1 species
UACAGAGGUCCCAAGCGUUGUUCGGAUUCAUUGGGCGUAAAGGGUGCGUAGGUGGCGCCGUAAGUGGGGUGUGAAAUUUCGGAGCUUAACUCCGAAACUGCAUUCCAUACUGCGGUGCUUGAGGACUGGAGAGGAGACUGGAAUUUACGGUGUAGCAGUGAAAUGCGUAGAGAUCGUAAGGAAGACCAGUGGCGAAGGCGGGUCUCUGGACAGUUCCUGACACUGAGGCACGAAGGCCAGGGGGGCAAACGGG